UGCGGUAGUGAGGGGAUUUUUAUUGGUGCGGCUAUAUGUCACCUAUUUUGUAUUGCGUCUACUUAGCCAAUAAGAAAAAAACGCAAUGGCACAGC
rnacentral:antisense_RNA from 22 species